GCCAGGUGAGGUGGUGCUUGUCUGUAAUCCCAGUGACCCAGGAGGCAGAGGCAAGGAUUGUGAGUUCAAGGCCAACCUGGGUAACAUAGCAAGACCCUGUCUCAA
rnacentral:sRNA from 1 species